CUUUAAUCCAAUUGUCCUGUGUCUCUUGAGUUAAUUUGUGCAAAUGUCUUUUGAUAAUGUCAUUAGCUUUUUCAAGCUUUCCUGAGGAUUGGGGUCUCCAGGAACAGUGUAAGUGAUAUUCUAUUCCUAGCGCUUUAGAUACUCCCUGAGUUACCGCAGCUUUAAAGGCGGAGCCAUUGUCACUCUGAAGGCUCCGUGGCAGCCCAAACCUGGGGAUAAUUUCAUGGAUUGAAAUCUCUAUAAUCUCCUUAGCCUGUUCACUAUGACAGGGAAAAGCCUCAAUCUGUUAAGGGAAGCACACUGAUUGAAACCGCCCACUCUGGCCAGGCACCAUAGUAACCAUUUGCAUGAGUUGUUUCACGACAGGAGGUCCUGGUAAGGAAAAGGGAACUAAUAAGCCUCCACCAACCAGAAGAGUUCAGAAAAGGUCAAAAGGAGACACCACCUGUCUGACGACCUCCCAGAAUCCUUCUCUCUGGCAUCCAUCUUGGCUGAACAAGGCGUGCACCACCAGGAAGGACUCUGAGUCAGAAUGAUUGGCUAAGGACAACCCGGAAACUAAUCCCAUCACCAUAAAACCCAGACUGCAAGCCACAUAGCACAGCAGUUCUCCUGGAUUCCCUUACCCUACUGCUUUAUGCCUGGACGCCCUUUCGCAAUAAAAUCUCUUGCUUUGUCAGCACAUGCGUCUCCUCAGACAAUUCGUUUCCGAGUGUUAGACAAGAGCCCAAUUUCAGGCCCUGGAAGGGGUCCCCCUUCCUGCAACAAAUAGCGACUCUGGUGGGAUUCUUUUUUGUUGAGACUGACAUCCUGACCACUUGAGGAGACUGACAUCCUGACCACUUGAGGUACUCAGGGGCCAGCUUGCCCGCCAAUGGACCAGACCCAGCAGCUGCAACUGAGACCCUUUUGUCCCUGGUCUCCUCCUGACGCAGACAACUGGCCAGAGUGCCCUGACCGACCUUGCUAGAUGUUUCCAUAAAGGUAGAGAAAAGGAUCCUGCAGGAGAAAAGAAACUGAGACCUUUUGAAAAGACUCCAAAUGGUGAAGAAUCUGAUGAAGAAAGUCAAAGACUAUGAAGAUUUAAGUGAAAUGUAGCAAUAAAUGAUGCUUUUUUUAGCUCAAUUUAUUCUUUCAUUGAAAAGUCACGUCACAUCAUUCUUCG
ensembl:lncRNA